rnacentral:rRNA from 1 species
UACAGAGGGGGCAAGCGUUAUUCGGAAUUAUUGGGCGUAAAGGGCGCGUAGGCGGCUUGGCAAGUGGAAGGUGAAAUCCCUCGGCUUAACCGAGGAACUGCCCUCCAAACUGCUUGGCUUGAGACCGGGAGAGGUGAGUGGAAUUCCCAGUGUAGCGGUGAAAUGCGUAGAUAUUGGGAGGAACACCAGUGGCGAAGGCGGCUCACUGGACCGGUACUGACGCUGAUGCGCGAAAGCGUGGGGAGCAAACAGG